GUUAUGAUGGUGCAGUGGGUAGCACUGUUACCUCACAGCAAGAAGGUCAUUGGUUGGAAUCCAGUCUGGGACC